rnacentral:rRNA from 1 species
AGCGGCGGACGGGUGAGUAACACGUGGGUAACUUGCCCAAGAGACUGGGAUAACACCUGGAAACAGAUGCUAAUACCGGAUAACAACACUAGACGCAUGUCUAGAGUUUGAAAGAUGGUUCUGCUAUCACUCUUGGAUGGACCUGCGGUGCAUUAGCUAGUUGGUAAGGUAACGGCUUACCAAGGCAAUGAUGCAUAGCCGAGUUGAGAGACUGAUCGGCCACAUUGGGACUGAGACACGGCCCAAACUCCUACGGGAGGCAGCAGUAGGGAAUCUUCCACAAUGGACGAAAGUCUGAUGGAGCAACGCCGCGUGAGUGAAGAAGGGUUUCGGCUCGUAAAGCUCUGUUGGUAGUGAAGAAAGAUAGAGGUAGUAACUGGCCUUUAUUUGACGGUAAUUACUUAGAAAGUCACGGCUAACUACGUGCCAGCAGCCGCGGUAAUACGUAGGUGGCAAGCGUUGUCCGGAUUUAUUGGGCGUAAAGCGAGUGCAGGCGGUUCAAUAAGUCUGAUGUGAAAGCCUUCGGCUCAACCGGAGAAUUGCAUCAGAAACUGUUGAACUUGAGUGCAGAAGAGGAGAGUGGAACUCCAUGUGUAGCGGUGGAAUGCGUAGAUAUAUGGAAGAACACCAGCGGCGAAGGCGGCUCUCUGGUCUGCAACUGACGCUGAGGCUCGAAAGCAUGGGUAGCGAACAGGAUUAGAUACCCUGGUAGUCCAUGCCGUAAACGAUGAGUGCUAAGUGU